rnacentral:rRNA from 1 species
GUGGGGAAUCUUCCGCAAUGGACGAAAGUCUGACGGAGCGACGCCGCGUGAGUGAAGAAGGCCUUCGGGUCGUAAAGCUCUGUCAUCAGGGACGAACGGCCGGUGGAGUGGAAAGCCACCGGAUUGACGGUACCUGAGAAGGAAGCCACGGCUAACUACGUGCCAGCAGCCGCGGUAAUACGUAGGUGGCAAGCGUUGUCCGGAAUUAUUGGGCGUAAAGCGCGCGCAGGUGGGAUCUUAAGUCCAUUUUGAAAGUUCGGAGCUCAACUCCGUGAUGGGAUGGAAACUGGGAUUCUUGAGUACCGGAGAGGAAAGCGGAAUUCCCCGUGUAGCGGUGAAAUGCGUAGAUAUGGGGAGGAACACCAGUGGCGAAGGCGGCCUGCUGGACAUUAACUGACGCUGAGGCGCGAAAGCGUGGGGAGCAAACAGGAUUAGAAACCCUGGUAGUCC